GAUGAAUGCUGGCGGCGUGCCUAACACAUGCAAGUCGAGCGGCAGCGCGGGGUGCUUGCACCCUGUCGGCGAGCGGCGAACGGCUGAGUAACGCGUAGGAAUUUGCCCCAAAGUGAGGAAUAACUGCCCGAAAGGGUAGCUAAUGCCGCAUAUGGUCUUCGGAUUAAAGGAUUUAUCCGCUUUGGGAGAAGCCUGCGUUGGAUUAGGUUGUUGGUAGGGUAAUGGCCUACCAAGCCGACGAUCCAUAGCUGGUCUGAGAGGAUGAUCAGCCAGACUGGAACUGAGACACGGUCCAGACUCCUACGGGAGGCAGCAGUGAGGAAUCUUCCACAAUGGGCGAAAGCCUGAUGGAGCAACGCCGCGUGAAGGAUGAAGGCCUUCGGGUUGUAAACUUCUUUUAGGAGUGAAGAAUAUGACGGUAACUCAGGAAUAAGCACCGGCGAACUACGU
rnacentral:rRNA from 1 species